GAUGAAGAACGCAGCGAAAUGCGAUAAGUAGUGUGAAUUGCAGAAUUCAGUGAAUCAUCGAAUCUUUGAACGCACAUUGCGCCCCUUGGUAUCCCGAGGGGCAUGCCUGUUCGAGCGUCAUUUCACCACUCAAGCCUGGCUUGGUGUUGGGCGACGUCCCCUUUGGGGACGCGCCUCGAAACGCUCGGCGGCGUGGCACCGGCUUUAAGCGUAGCAGAAUCUUUCGCUUUGGAAGUCGGGGCCCCGUCUGCCGGAAGACCUACUCGCAAGGUUGACCUCGGAGCAGGCAGGGAUACCCGCUGAACUUAAGCAUAUCAAUAAGCGGAGGA
rnacentral:misc_RNA from 1 species